rnacentral:rRNA from 1 species
UACGGAGGGUGCGAGCGUUGUUCGGAAUUACUGGGCGUAAAGCGCGUGCAGGCGGCCGACUAAGUCAGGUGUGAAAGCCCGGGGCUCACCUCCGGAAGUGCGCUUGAAACUGGUCGGCUAGAGUACGGGAGAGGGAAGCGGAAUUCCUGGUGUAGCGGUGAGAUGCGUAGAUAUCAGGAGGAACACCGGCGGCGAAGGCGGCUUCCUGGACCGAUACUGACGCUGAGACGCGAAAGCGUGGGGAGCAAACAGG